AAAAAUAUUAGCAUUUUCUCUCUUUUCUUCCUUUUUUGUUUUAUUAUUAUUAUCUUAUAGGAUAAGAUGGAUACACAAAUUCCUAUAUUGAGUCCUAACAAUAAUAUUGAUGAAUUUGAAGAUUUGGAAGUGACACAAUUUGAUGAAGAUACGCUAAGAAAAAUAUUAUUCGAAGAAGAACUGCAACCGAAUAAAGAUAGUAUUAAUAUCGUUCAAGAUAAUAUAAUACAACCAAUGAUGGUUGAUACAGCUUCGAAUUUUUCGAAAAUCGAGGAGGAGGAAGAAGAGGAGCUUGUAAUCGAAGAUUUCGAUUGGAUAGAAAUGAUGGAAUUGUCAGAUACAAUUGUCUCCCACGAGGGAGUAAAUGAGAUUUUUGAUGUGGGAGAAUUAGAUUUUGAUUUUUCUCAUUUUUGUUCUUCUUCAAUUCCUAUGGAAGAAAUAGGAUAUGAUGUUUUGUGGCAAAAUAACUUAUAAUAGUAAUUAUUAUUGUAAUAAAAUCAAUGAAACUUAAGUACUAUGUUUGAAUUUUUUUUUUGUCUCAGUUAUUUUAAUUCAAACUCGAUCUUUGUAUA
rnacentral:misc_RNA from 1 species